rnacentral:rRNA from 1 species
UACGAAGGGGGCUAGCGUUGUUCGGAAUUACUGGGCGUAAAGCGUCUGUAGGUGGUUUAAUAAGUCAACUGUUAAAUCUUGAGGCUCAACCUCAAAAUCGCAGUCGAAACUAUUAGGCUAGAGUAUAGUAGGGGUAAAGGGAAUUUCCAGUGGAGCGGUGAAAUGCGUAGAGAUUGGAAAGAACACCGAUGGCGAAGGCACUUUACUGGGCUAUUACUAACACUCAGAGACGAAAGCUAGGGUAGCAAAUGGG